ACUGCCGUGGUUGCAGGAUGUGAAUAGCACCCGUGCCCAAACCAUGGAAAAAAGACUGUCUCUCUCUGAGCCGCCCACACCAAAGAGAGAGACAGAGGUCCCCUUCAUCUCAGCUAAGACGAGCGGCGUCAGGUUGGAAAAAUCAAGAACGGCGGUGCAGCGCAGCGUGAGGAUUUCGUCGACUACCCAAAGUUCUCGGCGGUAGAUGUGGCAAUAGGUGAAGCACCUACGGAUCCCAUCUUCUCCAGAACCAAUAGCCAGAUACCUUCACAUCACCCGUCAAUCGACGUGGAUCUUGUUGAAGACGAGAACAACAGCAGGCCAGCGACGCCGCCAUGCUGCCGACCAUGCCGGGAAACGAUGGAUGGAUAAGACGGCAGAGUGAUAGAUAAAUGAAGUAAGAAGCAUUGCAGUAGUCAACCGAGUGAAACAGAACUAGCAAUUCUUUCCAGGCACCAGUAGAAGGAUAUCGAAGUGCUAUAGAGCGUGCAAUUGAAGAAGCAUCAAAACUUGGGAAACAAUUGUUUUCGAACAACCUGUUGGCUUAAUAAAUGAAAUGGCAAGUCAUUUGCCUUGUUUCAAAAAAAAAAAACCGAGCAGGAGGCAUAUGAGUUCUACAACGCAUAUUCAUGGUGGCUUGGAUUCAACAUCAGGCGGGGAAACAAAUAUGUCAAUGACUCAAAAUACAAAUCAAAGCAGCAAGUUUCAAAGUGGUUUUUUCGGAAAAGUUUGGAAGUGGCUUAUUUAGGUCAAUAAAAUAUAUAUCAUUGGGUUGCUAAGAUAUCCAUGAUAGUCGGAGAAAGUAGCACCCAAGUGCUCAAAGCUUACACAGAUUACCAGAACAAACGUACCUUACGGAGUACACGCUUAUGUUCGUGCCCUCAUUAGCCCCCCUGAUACUACCAUUCAUCACAAUGCAGUCUCCAUUCCUUUGUGUUGUGCAUAGCAAAUUAAACAUCACAUUUGGACAAAGUACACAAGGAACAUGCUUGAGAAAACAAAACGGUAGACAGACAAGGCAGUUACUUUGCAGUAUUCACGGAAAGCAUGAAUUCUGACUCCAGCGUCUUGAUAGGAACGAAUUGAAGAUCUUAAAACA